GACGAACGCUGGCGGCGUGCUUAACACAUGCAAGUCGAACGGAAAGGCCCUGCUUUUGUGGGGUGCUCGAGUGGCGAACGGGUGAGUAACACGUGAGUAACCUGCCCUUGACUUUGGGAUAACUUCAGGAAACUGGGGCUAAUACCGGAUAGGAGCUCCUGCUGCAUGGUGGGGGUUGGAAAGUUUCGGCGGUUGGGGAUGGGCUCGCGGCUUAUCAGCUUGUUGGUGGGGUAGUGGCUUACCAAGGCUUUGACGGGUAGCCGGCCUGAGAGGGUGACCGGCGACAUUGGGCCUGAGAUACGGCCCAGAAUCCUACGGGCGGCAGCAGUGGGGAAUAUUGCACAGUGGGCGGAAGCCUGAUGCGGCAACGCCGCGUGCGGGAUAACGGCCUUCGGGUUGUAAACCGCUUUCGCCUGUGACGAAGCGUGAGUGACGGUAAUGGGUAAAGAAGCACCGGCUAACUACGUG
rnacentral:rRNA from 1 species